ACACCUCAAACAGUGUCGGAUACAGAGGCAUCCACACGGGGAAGCAGACGACGCCCGGUUUUAUUUUCUCCUCAACAAAUCGCUAAUUUUCACCCAGUUUACGGCACCUGAACCCAGGGAAGAAGGCAGCAAUCAUGUUUCGUAUGGCCGCCCCACGACUGGAUGCUGCCGAGGAGAAAAGGAGAGCCAUGGAGGAAGAUAAAUUAGCUAGGAAGAUCGUCUAUUCGAAUUUCGGGACUUUCGUCGUGACCAUAAUGCUUAUCAAAGCAGCUCCAUACCUUAUAGAGAGGUUUUCCUAAUGAAGAGGAGCAGAAGAAAGAAGUAUCAGCUCACAGAUGUUUUAUAAGAGAAUUAGAGAAUGGGGCAGUACUGAUUGUUUUUAUGCAAAUGUACUUUUGUAAUAAAUAAGAAAAGAAAAAUACUA